rnacentral:rRNA from 1 species
UGCCAGCCGCCGCGGUAAUACGGAGGGUGCAAGCGUUAAUCGGAAUUACUGGGCGUAAAGCGCGCGUAGGCGGCUAGGUCAGUCAGAUGUGAAAUCCCCGGGCUCAACCUGGGAACUGCAUUUGAUACUGCCUAGCUAGAGUAUGUUAGAGGAAUGCGGAAUUCCAGGUGUAGCGGUGAAAUGCGUAGAUAUCUGGAGGAACAUCAGUGGCGAAGGCGGCAUUCUGGAACAAUACUGACGCUGAGGUGCGAAAGCGUGGGGAGCAAACAGGAUUAGAUA